CUUUUUAUGCUUUUAGCAGUUACAUUAACGUAUUUAAAUGCUGCGGAUGAUGCCAAGCAAGCUUAUGAGCAAUCGAUUUUAUAUUCUAAGAAUGAUCCGUUUGUUCAUUUAAAUUAUGCUGUGUUACUAAACAAAAU
rnacentral:lncRNA from 1 species